GACAGAGGGGGCAAGCGUUGCUCGGAUUUACUGGGCGUAAAGGGCGCGUAGGCGGCACCGCAAGUCGACUGUGAAAUCUCCGGGCUUAACUCGGAAAGGUCAGCCGAUACUGCGGGGCUAGAGUGCAGAAGGGGCAACUGGAAUUCUCGGUGUAGCGGUGAAAUGCGUAGAUAUCGAGAGGAACACCUGCGGCGAAGGCGGGUUGCUGGGCUGACACUGACGCUGAUGCGCGAAAGCUAGGGGAGCGAGCGGG
rnacentral:rRNA from 1 species